rnacentral:rRNA from 1 species
UACGUAGGGUGCAAGCGUUGUCCGGAAUUAUUGGGCGUAAAGAGCUCGUAGGUGGUUUGUUACGUCUGCUGUGAAAUCCUAGGGCUUAACCCUGGGCUUGCAGUGGAUACGGGCAGACUAGAGGUAGGUAGGGGAGAAUGGAAUUCCUGGUGUAGCGGUGAAAUGCGUAGAUAUCGAGAGGAACACCUGCGGCGAAGGCGGGUUGCUGGGCCGACACUGACGCUGAUGCGCGAAAGCCAGGGGAGCGAACGGG